GAUGAACGCUGGCGGCGUGCCUAAUACAUGCAAGUCGAGCGAACGUAUGAGAGCUUUUUCACUAGAAUUUCUGAGCGGCCAGGGGGGGAAAAACACGGAAAACUCCCUCUUAAGAUUGGGUGACCUCCGGGAAACCGGAUCUAUAACCGGAGAUAACUUUAAUCCCCUUGUUUCAUAAUUGAAAAAGGUUCUUAUGCUAACUCUAUGAGGGUCCCGCGCUGCAUUAGCUAGUUGGUAAGGUAACGGCUUACCAAGGCAACGAUGCAUAGCCGACCUGAGAGGGUGAUCGGCCACACUGGAACUGAGACACGGUCCAGACUCCUACGGGAGGCAGCAGUAGGGAAUCUUCCGCAAUGGGCGAAAGCCUGACGGAGCAACGCCGCGUGAGUGAUGAAGGUCUUCGGAUCGUAAAACUCUGUUAUUAGGGAAGAACAAAUGUGUAAGUAACUGUGCACGUCUUGACGGUACCUAAUCAGAAAGCCACGGCUAACUACGUG
rnacentral:rRNA from 1 species